rnacentral:rRNA from 1 species
UACGGAGGGCGCAAGCGUUAUUCGGAAUUAUUGGGUGUAAAGGGUGCGUAGGCGGCUAUGUAAGUCAGGGGUGAAAGCGCGCAGCUUAACUGGGAAACUGCCCUUGAUACUGCAGAGCUUGAGAGAUGUAGAGGUCAGUGGAACUUGACGUGUAGCGGUGAAAUGCAUAGAUAUGUCGAAGAACACCAAUGGCGAAGGCGGAUGGCUGGGCCUUCUCUGACGCUGGGGCAAGAAAGCGAGGGGAGCGAACAGG